UUAAGUGAACAAGGGCAUACGGCGGAUGCCUUGGCGCCAAGAGCCGAUGAAGGACGCGGUAAGCUGCGAAAAGGCAUGGGUAGGAGCAAGCAUCCUGUGAUCCAUGCAUAUCCGAAUGGGGCAACCCACCAUCAGUCAUGUGAUGGUACGAAAGAGGCAGACCUGGGGAACUGAAACAUCUAAGUACCCAGAGGAAAAGUAAUCAAUUGAGAUUCCCUAAGUAGCGGCGAGCGAAAGGGGAAGAGCCCAAACCAGAUAACUUCGGUUGUCUGGGGUUGAGGACCGGCAAAAAGAGGAAACUUCUUAGUCGAAUGGUUUGGAAAGGCCAUGCACAGAAGGUAAAACACCUGUAGGCGAAAAGAAGUCAAUCGGGCUGGUAUCCAGAGUACUGCGAGACACGUGAAACCUUGCAGGAAGCAGGGGGGACCACCCUCCAAGGCAAAAUACUACUUGGCGACCGAUAGCGCAUAGUACCGUGAGGGAAAGGUGAAAAGAACCCCGGGAGGGGAGUGAAAUAGAACCUGAAACCGUAUGUCUACAAGCAGUCGAAGCACCUUAAGAGUGCGACGGCGUGCCUAUUGAAGAAUGAACCGGCGAGUUACAUUAUGUUGCGAGGUUAAGUGGGAGACACGGAGCCGAAGCGAAAGCGAGUCUUAAUAGGGCGACUAGUAACAUGGUGUAGACCCGAAACCGCAGUGAUCUAUCCAUGGUCAGGUUGAAGCGCAGGUAAAAAUGCGUGGAGGACCGAACCCGUGAGUGUUGAAAAACUUUGGGAUGAACCGUGGAUAGGGGUGAAAUGCCAAUCGAACGCGGAGAUAGCUGGUACUCCCCGAAAUAGCUUUAGGGCUAGCCUCAGGGAAGAUUAUAGACGGUAGAGCACUGAUCUGGCAAGGGGGCGUAAAGCCUACCGACCCUAGUCAAACUUCGAAUGGCUAUAAUUAAGACCCUGGGAGUCAGACUGCGAGUGAUAAGACCCGUAGUCAAGAGGGAAACAGCCCAGACCGCCGACUAAGGUCCCCAAUGCUGUACUAAGUGGAAAAGGAUGUAAGACUUCAUAAACAACCAGGAUGUUGGCUUAGAAGCAGCCACCAUUAAAAGAGUGCGUAAUAGCUCACUGGUCGAGAGGCCUUGCGCCGAAGAUGUCCGGGGCUCAAGUACAGAACCGAAGUCGCGGCAGGAUUAUAUAAUUCUGGGUAGGGGAGCGUUGUAUAUCCGACUGAAGGUGUACCGGAAGGAGCGCUGGAGGAUAUACAAGAGAGAAUGCCGGUAUGAGUAGCGAAAAGAACAGUGAGAAUCUGUUCCACCGAAAGCCUAAGGUUUCCUGAGCAACGCUCGUCGACUCAGGGUAAGUCGGGACCUAAGCCGAGGCAAAAAGCAUAGGCGAUGGACAACAGGUUAAUAUUCCUGUACCGCUUCAAAUCGUUUGAGCAAUGGAGUGACACAGAAGGUAGCUUGAGCACGCGAAUGGAUGUGCGUGUCGAAGGUAGUAGGUUGCAGUAUAGGCAAAUCCGUACUGUAUAAGACCGAGAACUGAUAGAUAGACGAUACUUCGGUAAAGUCAAAUUCAAGUGAGCCAUGCUGUCGAGAAAAGCUUCUAGUGAGAGAUGAGGCGCCCGUACCGAAACCGACACAGGUAGGCGGGGAGAGAAUCCUAAGGUGCGCGGGACAACCCUCGUUAAGGAACUCGGCAAAUUGUAUCCGUAACUUAGGGAUAAGGAUAGCCGGAGGAUGUGAAGGGAUUUACUUCUGGAGCGUCAGCCGGUGGCACAAGAGAGGCCCAAGCGACUGUUUAGCACAAACACAGGUGCCUGCAAAAGAGAAAUCUGACGUAUAGGUGCUGACACCUGCCCGGUGCUGGAAGGUUAAGAGGAGGGCUUAGAGGCAACUCGAAGGCUUGAAUUGAAGCCCCAGUAAACGGCGGCCGUAACUAUAACGGUCCUAAGGUAGCGAAAUUCCUUGUCGGGUAAGUUCCG
rnacentral:rRNA from 1 species